UGAUCGUAACGUUUUUAUUUGCUCGAUA
rnacentral:sRNA from 1 species